GACGAACCGUGCGAAUGUUGUUCGGAAUCACUGGGCUUAAAGGGCGCGUAGGCGGGCUGUCAAGUCUGGGGUGAAAUGCCGCGGCUCAACCGUGGAACUGCCUUAGAUACUGACGGCCUCGAGGAAGGUAGGGGCAUGCGGAACUGUAGGUGGAGCGGUGAAAUGCGUUGAUAUCGUACAGGAACUCCGGUGGCGAAAGCGGCG
rnacentral:rRNA from 1 species